rnacentral:rRNA from 1 species
GGGUUGUGAGGUUAAGCGACUAAGCGUACACGGUGGAUGCCCUGGCAGUCAGAGGCGAUGAAGGACGUGCUAAUCUGCGAAAAGCGUCGGUAAGGUGAUAUGAACCGUUAUAACCGGCGAUGUCCGAAUGGGGAAACCCAGUGCAAUUCGUUGCACUAUCGUUAACUGAAUACAUAGGUUAACGAGGCGAACCGGGGGAACUGAAACAUCUAAGUACCCCGAGGAAAAGAAAUCAACCGAGAUUCCCCCAGUAGCGGCGAGCGAACGGGGAGCAGCCCAGAGUCUGAAUCAGCUUGUGUGUUAGUGGAACGGUCUGGAAAGUCCGACGGUACAGGGUGAUAGUCCCGUACACCAAAAUGCACAGGCUGUGAACUCGAAGAGUAGGGCGGGACACGUGGUAUCCUGUCUGAAUAUGGGGGGACCAUCCUCCAAGGCUAAAUACUCCUGACUGACCGAUAGUGAACCAGUACCGUGAGGGAAAGGCGAAAAGAACCCCGGCGAGGGGAGUGAAAAAGAACCUGAAACCGUGUACGUACAAGCAGUGGGAGCACCUUUAUGGUGUGACUGCGUACCUUUUGUAUAAUGGGUCAGCGACUUAUAUUCUGUAGCAAGGUUAACCGUAUAGGGGAGCCGCAGGGAAACCGAGUCUUAACUGGGCGUUAAGUUGCAGGGUAUAGACCCGAAACCCGGUGAUCUAGCCAUGGGCAGGUUGAAGGUUGGGUAACACUAACUGGAGGACCGAACCGACUAAUGUUGAAAAAUUAGCGGAUGACUUGUGGCUGGGGGUGAAAGGCCAAUCAAACCGGGAGAUAGCUGGUUCUCCCCGAAAGCUAUUUAGGUAGCGCCUCGUGAACUCAUCUUCGGGGGUAGAGCACUGUUUCGGCUAGGGGGUCAUCCCGACUUACCAACCCGAUGCAAACUACGAAUACCGAAGAAUGUUAUCACGGGAGACACACGGCGGGUGCUAACGUCCGUCGUGAAGAGGGAAACAACCCAGACCGCCAGCUAAGGUCCCAAAGUCAUGGUUAAGUGGGAAACGAUGUGGGAAGGCACAGACAGCCAGGAUGUUGGCUUAGAAGCAGCCAUCAUUUAAAGAAAGCGUAAUAGCUCACUGGUCGAGUCGGCCUGCGCGGAAGAUGUAACGGGGCUAAACCAUGCACCGAAGCUGCGGCAGCGACACGAUGUGUUGUUGGGUAGGGGAGCGUUCUGUAAGCCUGCGAAGGUGACCUGUGAGGGUUGCUGGAGGUAUCAGAAGUGCGAAUGCUGACAUAAGUAACGAUAAAGCGGGUGAAAAGCCCGCUCGCCGGAAGACCAAGGGUUCCUGUCCAACGUUAAUCGGGGCAGGGUGAGUCGACCCCUAAGGCGAGGCCGAAAGGCGUAGUCGAUGGGAAACAGGUUAAUAUUCCUGUACUUGGUGUUACUGCGAAGGGGGGACGGAGAAGGCUAUGUUAGCCGGGCGACGGUUGUCCCGGUUUAAGCAUGUAGGCUGAUUAUCCAGGCAAAUCCGGAUAAUCAAGGCUGAGGUGUGAUGACGAGGCACUACGGUGCUGAAGUAACAAAUGCCCUGCUUCCAGGAAAAGCCUCUAAGCAUCAGGUAACAUCAAAUCGUACCCCAAACCGACACAGGUGGUCAGGUAGAGAAUACCAAGGCGCUUGAGAGAACUCGGGUGAAGGAACUAGGCAAAAUGGUGCCGUAACUUCGGGAGAAGGCACGCUGGUGUGUAGGUGAAGUCCCUGCGGAUGGAGCUGAGACCAGUCGAAGAUACCAGCUGGCUGCAACUGUUUAUUAAAAACACAGCACUGUGCAAACACGAAAGUGGACGUAUACGGUGUGACGCCUGCCCGGUGCCGGAAGGUUAAUUGAUGGGGUUAUCCGUAAGGAGAAGCUCUUGAUCGAAGCCCCGGUAAACGGCGGCCGUAACUAUAACGGUCCUAAGGUAGCGAAAUUCCUUGUCGGGUAAGUUCCGACCUGCACGAAUGGCGUAAUGAUGGCCAGGCUGUCUCCACCCGAGACUCAGUGAAAUUGAACUCGCUGUGAAGAUGCAGUGUACCCGCGGCAAGACGGAAAGACCCCGUGAACCUUUACUAUAGCUUGACACUGAACAUUGAGCCUUGAUGUGUAGGAUAGGUGGGAGGCUUUGAAGCGUGGACGCCAGUCUGCGUGGAGCCAACCUUGAAAUACCACCCUUUAAUGUUUGAUGUUCUAACGUUGGCCCCUUAUCGGGGUUGCGGACAGUGUCUGGUGGGUAGUUUGACUGGGGCGGUCUCCUCCCAAAGCGUAACGGAGGAGCACGAAGGUUAGCUAAUCCUGGUCGGACAUCAGGAGGUUAGUGCAAUGGCAUAAGCUAGCUUGACUGCGAGCGUGACGGCGCGAGCAGGUGCGAAAGCAGGUCAUAGUGAUCCGGUGGUUCUGAAUGGAAGGGCCAUCGCUCAACGGAUAAAAGGUACUCCGGGGAUAACAGGCUGAUACCGCCCAAGAGUUCAUAUCGACGGCGGUGUUUGGCACCUCGAUGUCGGCUCAUCACAUCCUGGGGCUGAAGUAGGUCCCAAGGGUAUGGCUGUUCGCCAUUUAAAGUGGUACGCGAGCUGGGUUUAGAACGUCGUGAGACAGUUCGGUCCCUAUCUGCCGUGGGCGCUGGAGAAUUGAGGGGGGCUGCUCCUAGUACGAGAGGACCGGAGUGGACGCAUCACUGGUGUUCGGGUUGUCAUGCCAAUGGCACUGCCCGGUAGCUAAAUGCGGAAGAGAUAAGUGCUGAAAGCAUCUAAGCACGAAACUUGCCCCGAGAUGAGUUCUCCCUGAGACUUUAAGUCUCCUGAAGGAACGUUGAAGACGACGACGUUGAUAGGCCGGGUGUGUAAGCGCAGCGAUGCGUUGAGCUAACCGGUACUAAUGAACCGUGAGGCUUAACCUUACAACGCCGAAG